AAGAACAGCAGUGACACAGCAACAAGGGGACAGUUCAGCUCAGAGAUGGACGGGACCAUUUGAACAAUGUCCCUGGAUUCAGAAGAGUCCUGAUCCUGCUCUGCUCUUCAAGUCAUUGGCAAAGCCACAAAGUGAUGGCCAGGAGCUCUCUUGGAUUUUGUGGUUGCUGCUGCGGCAACAGAAAAUGACACAGGCAAAGAAGCUGCUUCUUCAUGCCAAGCAUGGAAGUCAAAUGAGCCAAAGGAAAAUGAACAGAGAUUGAUCACUUCGCUGUUUGCUGACUGCAUUGAAUUUCUUGACUCUGAAGAU